rnacentral:tmRNA from 1 species
GGGGGCGACUGGCUUCGACGUGGGUUGUGAAACUGAAGGAGCAUACCGGGGAGCCUGGGGACCUCGAUAAAAACGGGCAAUGAUGUAAUUGGCAACGAUUACCAACAACCUUUAGCCGCUUAGUCGUGCGAGGCGAAGUUUAUAAGAACGGUGACGGCUUUUAAACUUCGACAUUUAGUCACCUCGGUCGAUGUGGUUUUCGCCAGCGCCUCGACUUAAGAAAUUCUGGCGGACAGGUCGCAGAGAUUUUGUCGAUAGAAGCUCUGCGACCAAAAUAAAGUAUCGACUAAGUAUGUAGCGCCUUCACGCGAAUCACCUGCGGACGGGGGUUCAAUUCCCCCCGCCUCCACCA